CAGUAGCCACGGGAAUACGGAGGGAGCUAGCGUUGUCCGGAUUUAUUGGGCGUAAAGGGAGCGCAGGCGGUUUAGUAAGUCUGAAGUUAAAGGCAUUGGCUCAACCAAUGUAUGCUUUGGAAACUGUUAGACUUGAGUGCAGAAGGGGAGAGUGGAAUUCCAUGUGUAGCGGUGAAAUGCGUAGAUAUAUGGAGGAACACCGGUGGCGAAAGCGGCUCUCUGGUCUGUCACUGACGCUGAGGCUCGAAAGCGUGGUAGCGAACAGGAUUAGAUACCCCCGUAGUCCCUGUCUCUUAUACAC
rnacentral:rRNA from 1 species